rnacentral:rRNA from 1 species
UACGGGGGGUGCGAGCGUUGUCCGGAAUCACUGGGCGUAAAGGGCGCGUAGGUGGCGUGAUAAGGGUGUGGUGAAAGCCCGGGGCUCAACCCCGGGUCUGCCAUGCCGACUGUCAGGCUAGAGUACUGUAGGGGCAGGCGGAAUUCCGGGUGUAGCGGUGGAAUGCGUAGAGAUCCGGAGGAAGACCGGUGGCGAAGGCGGCCUGCUGGGCAGUUACUGACACUGAGGCGCGAUAGCGUGGGGAGCAAACAGG